GAUGAACGCUAGCGGGAGGCCUAACACAUGCAAGCCGAGCGGUAGAGUCUCUUCGGAGACUUGAGAGCGGCGCACGGGUGCGGAACACGUGUGCAACCUGCCUUUAUCUGGGGGAUAGCCUUUCGAAAGGAAGAUUAAUACCCCAUACUAUACUGGAUGGCAUCAUCUGGUAUUUAAAACUCCGCUCUAUAGAGAUGGGCACGCGCAAGAUUAGAUAGUUGGUGAGGUAACGGCUCACCAAGUCAGCGAUCUUUAGGGGGCCUGAGAGGGUGAUCCCCCACACUGGUACUGAGACACGGACCAGACUCCUACGGGAGGCAGCAGUGAGGAAUAUUGGACAAUGGGUGAGAGCCUGAUCCAGCCAUCCCGCGUGAAGGACGACGGCCCUAUGGGUUGUAAACUUCUUUUGUAUAGGGAUAAACCUAGAUACGUGUAUCUAGCUGAAGGUACUAUACGAAUAAGCACCGGCUAACUCCGUG
rnacentral:rRNA from 1 species